GAGCUGUAGCUCAGCGGUUAGAGAAUCUGCUUUGGAUGCAGAUGCUCUCAGGUUCAAUUCCCAAUGGCAUCU